AGAGUUUGAUCCUGGCUCAGGACGAACGCUGGCGGCGUGCCUGAAUACAUGCAAGUUGAACGAUGAUUUCUGGUACUUGUAUCAGGAUGAAGAGUAGCGAACGGGUGAGUAACGCGUGGGUAACCUACCUCUUAGCGGGGGACAACUAUUGGAAACGAUAGCUAAUACCGCAUAACAAUAUUAAACACAUGUUUAAUAUUUGAAAGUACCAAUUGGUACACUAGGAGAUGGACCCGCGUUGUAUUAGCUAGUUGGUAGUGUAAUGGACUACCAAGGCGAUGAUACAUAGCCGACCUGAGAGGGUGAUCGGCCACAUUGGGACUGAGACACGGCCCAAACUCCUACGGGAGGCAGCAGUAGGGAAUCUUCGGCAAUGGACGAAAGUCUGACCGAGCAACGCCGCGUGAGUGAAGAAGGUUUUCGGAUCGUAAAACUCUGUUGUUAGGGAAGAACGUUGUGUAGAGUGGAAAAUUACACAAGUGACGGUAUCUAACCAGAAAGGGACGGCUAACUACGUGCCAGCAGCCGCGGUAAUACGUAGGUCCCGAGCGUUGUCCGGAUUUAUUGGGCGUAAAGCGAGCGCAGGUGGUUUAAUAAGUCUGAUGUAAAAGGCAGUGGCUCAACCAUUGUGUGCAUUGGAAACUGUUAGACUUGAGUGCAGUAGAGGAGAGUGGAAUUCCAUGUGUAGCGGUGAAAUGCGUAGAUAUAUGGAGGAACACCGGUGGCGAAAGCGGCUCUCUGGACUGUAACUGACACUGAGGCUCGAAAGCGUGGGUAGCAAACAGGAUUAGAUACCCUGGUAGUCCACGCCGUAAACGAUGAGUGCUAGUUGUUUGGGGCUAUCCAGCCCUAAGUGACGCAGCA
rnacentral:rRNA from 1 species